GAGUUGAUCGUGGCUCAAAUUGAACGCUGGCGGCAUGCCUUACACAUGCAAGUCGAACGGCAGCAUGAUCUAGCUUGCUAGAUUGAUGGCGAGUGGCGAACGGGUGAGUAAUACAUCGGAACGUGCCCUGUAGUGGGGGAUAACUAGUCGAAAGAUUAGCUAAUACCGCAUACGACCUGAAGGUGAAAGUGGGGGACCGCAAGGCCUCAUGCUAUAGGAGCGGCCGAUGUCUGAUUAGCUAGUUGGUGGGGUAAAGGCCCACCAAGGCGACGAUCAGUAGCUGGUCUGAGAGGACGAUCAGCCACACUGGGACUGAGACACGGCCCAGACUCCUACGGGAGGCAGCAGUGGGGAAUUUUGGACAAUGGGCGAAAGCCUGAUCCAGCAAUGCCGCGUGUGUGAAGAAGGCCUCGGUUGUAAGU
rnacentral:rRNA from 1 species